rnacentral:rRNA from 1 species
AGCUCCAAUAGCGUAUAUUAAUGUUGUUGCAGUUAAAAAGCUCGUAGUUGGAUUUCUGACAAGAGUAAUCGGUCCAAACCUUCGGGUUUGUGUACUUGGUUUUCUCUAGUCAUCCUUAUAGAGAACGUGCUUGGCAUUAGGUUGUCGGGUACGGGACCUAUAUCAUUUACUGUGAAAAAAUUAGAGUGUUCAAAGCAGGCAAUCGCUGUGAAUACAUUAGCAUGGAAUAAUAAGAUAGGACUUUGGUACUAUUUUGUUGGUUUGCAUACCAAGGUAAUGAUUAAGAGGGACAGUUGGGGGUAUUCGUAUUUAAUUGUCAGAGGUGAAAUUCUUGGAUUUAUGAAAGACGAACUACUGCGAAAGCAUUUACCAAGGAUGUUUUCAUUA